rnacentral:lncRNA from 10 species
AGGGUACAUGGGGACCAUUGCUUUACAUUUGCCUGGCAGCAUUUCUCUUUCCACUUCUAAUAUUAGACCCCUCCUUUCUGAUCCUAGGCAUGGCCCAUGUCCCUGGGAACAGUAGAGACUGAGGCCUGGGUCUCAGUGGCAUCAAUUAGAGCCUUUCCCUGGGACUGAUGUACGAGUGUCUCUUUCUGUUGGCAUCUUUAAAUGAGAAGAUAAAAAUCCAGGUUAUCAUUAGCCACAUUCACUGGUCAAGAAAAAGGCCUCUGCAGAACACAGCUGAGCAGAACCACACAGAAGUGGAAGAAGCAAAGAGGUUUCCAGAAGACUGUGAGUACUUGAUUCCAAUCUCUGAGCUUCUAUUUCAGGCAGUUCUUCCUUUGAUCCUUCCCAAGUUCUAUAAAUAGAAAUUUCCACUUUUGCUUGUGUUAAUGAAUUGCUCUUUAUCAUGCGUAAUAGAGUUCUGACGAAUAUACCUGAUUAUUCAUCUGUGUGUCUUUCAGCGUUGCUCGACAGGAUAGCAGCAUCAGCCUUGCCUGAGAAUUUACUAGACAUCCAAUUCCCAGGCCCAUCCACAGACCCACUCAGCUCAGGGUAGACACACAUACACACACACCCCUCUAUACAAAUGCAAACUCAGGGUAGGACCUGAGAUUCUGCAUUUGAACUUGUCUUUCAGGAGUUCUUAUGCAUGCUAAUGUUUGCGAAGAACUCAACUAGUUUAUAAAAUAAGAGAGAUCCAACCACAACAAUCAGCCUGUCCAACUAGUUUGCCAAUUCCAUAGAGACGUUCCAUCUCUUAUUCAGUCUUAUAUUCACCACCUAGAAAGUGCCUAGCACACAAAUUGGUAUUGGAGCAUAUUGAACAAGAAACACAAAGGCAGAGAAAGCAAGGUAGGAUGGCAAAACUCCUGCAUUCAGCAUAGAAUCAGGUUAAGCAAGGUGUUUGGGGACAUGGAUCUGGGGAUGAAAGGCCUAGAGCUGAGACUUUGGGAUUGGAGACUGGGAAAUGACACAGAAUAAGAACAGGAACUCUGGGCAAGUUCACAGGCUUUGAGACUCACGAGUAUGGAAUCCAGCCCGUCAUCUUUCUCCUUGGAAGUGUGUUAUUAACACAUUUUUCCUCAUUAAAAGGUAGACAAACAAGAGAAACCUCUUUCUAUAGCCACAAUUUCUCCAUUGGCUCUCAACGCCUGCCCUGGGACCAUCUUCACUGCUACCCUGGUUGGACUCAUCCCUGCACCCACCACAUACACACGGUAGCAAAAGCACCGCAUAUCAAAUUCCCUUUGCCAGAUAAAUGGGGUCUCUAGUCUGUACACGGACCUAAAAGAGGAUGGUCGGCAGAGAGUAUCCGAAUUAUUGCUCCAUGCUGCGAGAUCCCUGUUCCUAGGAAAGCCGAGGUCUGCCUUCCAAUGUGCAAUUCUAGCUUAAUAGGGAAGUUAUAUCACUGUUGACAGUCUUGUCCUUUCUUAAUAAAUCUUAGGAGUUAUCCCAUAAGGAAUAUUCAUUUUCCUUCAGACAUGAAGUGACCAUUAAGAUGCGCCAGUAAAGAAUCCAUGGCUUUCAGUGUCUGGCCCUAUUUCUUCUAGUUCAAGAAUUUUAAGAAAAAAUAUUGCAAUAAAAGGUAUAUUUUUAUUAGCUACAAA